rnacentral:rRNA from 1 species
CAGGGGGUGCAAACGUUGCUCGGAAUUAUUGGGCGUAAAGCGCGCGUAGGCGGUUACCUAAGUUGGAUGUGAAAGCCCUUGGCUUAACCGAGGAAGUGCAUCCAAAACUGGGCAGCUAGAGUGUGGAAGAGGGUCGCGGAAUUCCCGGUGUAGAGGUGAAAUUCGUAGAUAUCGGGAGGAACACCAGUGGCGAAGGCGGCGACCUGGUCCGAAACUGACGCUGAGGCGCGAAAGCGUGGGGAGCAAACAGGAUUAGAUACCCUGGUAGUCCACGCCGUAAACGAUGGGUGCUUGCUGUUGCUGGUACUGACCCCGGCAGUGGCGAAGCUAACGCGAUAAGCACCCCGCCUGGGGAGUACGGCCGCAAGGCUA